CGGGGUGCACCAGGCGCGAAAACUUCACAAUGGGGGCAACCCCGAUGAGGGAAUUCCAAGUGCUAGCACUUUUUGUGUUAGCUGUUCUCCUGUCUAAAAAACAGGAGAAGUAAGGGCCGGGUAAGACGGGUGCCAGCCGCCGCGGUAAUACCCGCGGCCCGAGUGGUGGUCGAUAUUAUUGAGCCUAAAACGUUCGUAGCCGGUCUUGUAAAUCCUUGGGUAAAUCGGCCAGCUUAACUGUCCGAAGUCCGGGGAGACUGCAAGACUUGGGAUCGGGAGAGGUCAGAGGUACUUCUGGGGUAGGGGUAAAAUCCUGUAAUCCUAGAAGGACCACCGGUGGCGAAGGCGUCUGACUAGAACGAAUUCGACGGUGAGGAACGAAGCCCUGGGGCGCAAACGGGAUUAGAUACCCCGGUAGUCCAGGGUGUAAACGCUGCGGGCUUGGUGUUGGGGGUCCUUAGUGGGCGCCCAGUGCCGGAGAGAAGUUGUUAAGCCUGCUGCUUGGGGAGUACGUCCGCAAGGAUGAAACUUAAAGGAAUUGGCGGGGGAGCACAAGGGCGAAUUCGCG
rnacentral:rRNA from 1 species